AUUGAACGCUGGCGGCAGGCCUAACACAUGCAAGUCGAGCGAGCGGCGGACGGGUGAGUAAUGUCUGGGAAACUGCCUGCUGGAGGGGGAUAACUACUGGAAACGGUAGCUAAUACCGCAUACCAUCAGAUGUGCCCAGAGGGGAUUGGCUAGUAGGUGGGGUAACGGCUCACCUAGGCGACGAUCCCUAGCUGGUCUGAGAGGAUGACCAGCCACAGUGGAACUGAGAAACGGUCCAGACUCGUACGGAGGGCAGCAGUGGGGAAUAUUGCACAAUGGGCGCAAGCCAGAUGCAGCCAUGCCGCGUGUGUGAAGAAGGCCUUCGGGUUGUAAAGCACUUUCAGCGGGGAGGCGUUACCCGCAAAAGAAGCACCGGCUAACUCCGUGCCAGCCGCCGCGGUAAUUC
rnacentral:rRNA from 1 species